ACCGGUUGUCUGAUGUCCCCGCGGCUCUGCACACGGGAAGGGGGUCAGCCAAGGCCGCUCACGUUCACUCGGCCAAACCCCGGGGUGUUUGGACUCAGGCCCCUCCACGUCUGCCGAGCACCUUCUCCGGGUCAGGCUCUGAGCUGAGCUUGAGGUUCCAGCGGGAAGUGAGGCGGAUGCGGGCCUGGCCUCAGGGGCUCUCAGGCUGGGGGCAAAUGCCUGGUCACAGGGGCCACGUCACAAUCGCAGGUGCAGAGUGCUGCAAAGGGGAGACUGGGUGGUGGGGUCCGGCCCGGCCGGGGGUCCAGAAGCCUCCUGGGGAAGCCCAGCCUGAAAGAAGCUGUGCGGGGCAUCCUCCAUCCCUUCCACAGCACGUCGGGGCCAGGGCCCUGGGGCAGGACCGCUGCUGGCCUCAGGAGACAGGCCCAGAACGAGCCAGAUGACGUCAUGAUCUGGGAGGACAAUCGGGGGGAUGAAGGGGAUCAAACAGUGGACGGCGUAGUAGCUGCAGGGUGGGCAGGGCGGCCGGGUGCUCGGGAAGGUCUCCGAGGAGGCGACGUAGGAGCAGCCACCCGACCAGGCUCCUUGCCGCAGACAAGAUAGAUCUCUAAGAGUUUAAGAAGGAGAAGUCUUAAAGGUAUUUCACUCCGACGAGGCCCCGUUUUGAUGAUUCACACUCGGAAGGAAGCCGCCGCCCACAAGAGAACUUUGCGUCGACGCCCGUGGAAAGAGCAAUAAUUCUGGGUGUCAGCGUAUCAGGAUUCCAGCGGCUGUGAUUGGAAUGAAAAUGAGCGGCUGUAGGUCGUCCAUUGGAAUCGUCAUAUUACAGUAAAAGUCAUUUCCGUGAGCCCGGUGUGCGCCUCCGUCUGCCGAGGGGGCGGUGUCUGGGCUUCCAGCUCGGUGACACACGUCCCCGACGUCCCCCUCCGGCCCGCCAGCCCGGACAAACCGCCCGCCUUCUGCAGGAGACGGUUUUGGAAGUGUGAGCCCGAACCCAGAACCAGGCGAUGGCAUCUGGAGGGCGGGUUCGGGCUGAGCACGGGCCCCUGAGAGGCGCGGACCACCGCUGGGCACCCCUGGAGGGAACGGGCCCUGGCCGGCCACCAAGACUUGGGCGGGGGGGAAGCCUUUGCUGAUGGGCAAUCGUGCAGAAGCAGACGUGCCCACUGGCGAGGCCUCGGUGUGCAGCCCACGACCCAAGGAACUGGGGUGGGAGGUGGUUUCUUUUUUAAAUUUAAAAACCUUCUAGAAAAAAAAAAAAACAGGCCGGCAUUAAAACAUAUAUGGAAUUAGGCCCCAUCGUCAAAGUUAAUACCCACCAUAUGUAUUUACAUUCACCUCCACUCCAACAAAUCGAGUUCUGCAUUACAGCACGGACGGAAGAGGAGAUUGCCUCUCAGCCGGGCUGACAGGGGGCUGAGUUACUGUUUUGCCGUAGACUUCUCCGGCACGUCCAAAGACAGUGGAGGGAAAUCGGGACUGAAAAUCCCCCUUUUGGAUCUGCCUCCUAAUUUCAAAUACAAAUUAGCGGAAUUUUAACAUUUCGGAUGUCACACCUUGAGCAAAUUAAAAAUCAACAAAAAUAUUAAGGUUCCCCGUGACCCGCUCAAGUGUACAGAAUGUAUAAAAACUUUAAUCAAACA